ACAGUCGCCGUCAGAUCUGCAUCACGUGGAGACGUCGGCCAGACUCCUCUUUAAACCCUGUGUUUCUGUUGCUUGUGGGGGCCUCCCCCAGGGGCAACUGAUCUUACUUCAGUUGAUGUUUGUCGCCGUGGAUCCCACUGGUUCCUGCCUGUGGACAAGGGUCUGAUGGGAAGGCCGAGGUUGUAGCUCUGUGGGAGAGCACGCGCGUGAGGCUGCAGACUGCGUCCCCAGCACCAGGACACAUCUGAAAUGGAGGUCGGGGUGGAGACGGCACUGGUCCUGCUGGGGCAGAGCUCAGCCACACUGAGUCCUGGGAUCAGAUUCUGCUCUUGACCUGCAUUUAGACCUGCCAGUGAUGUAGGACUGUCGAGUGGAACUUGAAACAGCCUGCCAGAAACACGAACCGUAAUCAAAAUGUGUGUAGGUCAGGCGGCGACUUUCUCUGGAAGGCAGCCAUUCUCGAUGGGUGUCAUCUUUCCGACAUCCUCUUGGGGCUCAAGAGGAGACUCCGUAAGCAAACUUCCUCCCAGUUCCAGGGACACUGGUAUUAGAAGCCCCCGUGCUCUCUCUCCACUCUGACCUUCGACAGAGGGAAUUUCUGUAGGCAUGUGUCUCAGCAACCCUUUUAACCAGCUACGCUCCACAAAGCAGAGCUCUCUUACAGAUUCAGAAACAGGUGUCUGGUUGUCUUGUUGACCGAGGGAGAGGCCACUUGCCUGUGCUCAGCUCUCUUGACUUGCUUUGGGCCCCUGAGCUGAAGCGCUUUGUUUUUCUUGUGUGCUCUGAGGGAAAGAGGGCAGGCUGGUAAUUUGACCUCAGGAUCCACAUUUCAAAGAGCUGUUGAACAAGAGACUUUAUUUGCACCUAAGAAAAUUGGAACUUUCUUGAGGGAAGGAAUUCAGCGGCAGGGAUUGGACACGAAGAGGGAAAAUAACAGAUAACUGGGUGAGAUUUUUUUUUUUUUCAUCAGAACCAAGAUUGGAUCUCAAAAAGAAACAAAAACAGGUGGAGAAUCCUACAAGAGUUUGAUGACUGAAAGUUUCAGAGGGGGUUUAGAGCAUAAGAGGAAAGUAAGUGCGAUUUCUGUAGGUCAGUGGAAGAAAUAUUAAAAGGCAGGAAGGCUUCGGUAAGAAAGCACUGAGGUUUUCAUGUAGCUGUGGAGUGUGACUGUGCCCUUGGCCUCAGCUCAGCCCACUGGGCAUUCGCUGGGCAUCUGUCCCUAUGGUGCAGCUGAGGACAGGAGGUGCCCUUCCCACAGCAGCGUGGCCAGGCGUGAUCUUGAGUGGUGGCAGUCUGCUGAGCAGCCUGGGACUGACCCGGGUCAUGUCUGGCCACAGGCCUGUGCAGAGUGGGAGAAGCAGCGGUCAAGGAAAACACAGCCAUGCUAACCUCCCCUUCCAUCUCCUCUCCUCUCCCACUCAACUUUCCACUGUACCCUGUUCUGGGCCUUCCCUUCCCAGGCCGAGCUACCCAGACACAGGCUGAGUGCGGUGCCCACUCCCCCGCAGCUCUCCUGACACUGCCGCCUGCCUGCCUGGUGGGUGGAGAGAAGUAGAAGCCUCUCUCCCUCUCCUCUCCCUCCCCCCUGCUCUCCAGGACAGGAAGGAGGGUCACAGUUGCCACUUCAGUUGGGUCUUUCUGAGGAGGGAAGCUGAACUAAGUGGCCAUCUCUGUACUGCCCGGGUCACUAGAGUGUCCCGUUGCAGAGCGACUUGUCACCUGCAGCUUCCGCUCCUGGUGUGCGUUGCUGCUCGUGCCUAGCCAGAUGUCUAGCCCCACGGACAGGCCGGGUCCUCUCGGGCUACUUUGUAGAUGUCCCUCUUUAACAUGCACAUGCGGCGCUUCCCUGGAGAGGCCGAAACCAGAAACAAGCUAAUGGGAGUGUGAGCCUGAGCAGAAGGCGCUGGAGUCUGUGUGACUGCUGCAGACACGCAGGCACCGGCUUGGGGGCAGCCCAGGGAAUGUGAACCUGUGGGACGGCGUCUCCUUGGGGUGGACUAUGGUGUCCAGUAUGUUCUCGAGACUUGGUAAGCUAAGGCCUUGACUUGCUUUGGUUCCUCUGUAUUCUGUGACCCCGUCAGUGACCUUCCACUUCCUCUCCAAGCGUGAACUCGUAGCAUGAUGGUACAAGUCUCUGUAGGAAGAGGAGGAGGUUUCGUGUUGUUUGGCAUGGCAACCGCCAGCCCAUCAGUGUCUGUCUGCUCGAGCCUGGUGUGUCUAAACCCUCUUCCUUGUUACAUAUUUUAGCUUUUUCUCUAUACUAUAGGUUUGUGGCAUCCUGUGAUCAGGUGAAGAGGAAGCUGCCCCUUGCAAAACUACUAUAACCAUUUUUUUUUUUUACGUGUUUUCACAGGAAUGAUUGUACAUAGGGCUUGUAAUAAAAUCCUAACACUGUGCUGUGGAAUCCCACUAGUAACUCUCCGCUGAAAGUGGCUUGAGAAGUUACACGUAAGACUUGACUUCCUGCUUCCUGAGUACAUCAGACCUAAUCUUCACCCUCUCGUUCUGUUUCAGCCUCCUGUAUAAGAAGUUCCGUAUUUUCUGCCCAUCAUACUUUGUAAUAAAACUUAAACUUGUACAGAUCGAA